UGACCCUGAGACCCUGCACCGAAAUCAAGAGGGGGCCGCUCAACCGAUGGAGCCAGCCAGGUACCCCGAUGAAGAGAUUAUUUUCAAAGUUUAUUUAUUUAUUUGAGAGAGACAGGGACAGCACAGCCGGGAAAGGAAGAGAUGAUGUUUCAAUGAGCGGAAGACACGGCAAGUGCAAAGACUAGAGGCCAGGUGGAGCAGGAGAAGGAUGAAGAGGGCAUGCCCCGCCAUAUGCUCCUGUGGAUCCCUGAACCGCCCUGGAAUGGGUCAUCCUCUUCGUCACUGUCCCUCUGCCCCAGAAGGGGAAGUUCCUGGAACACAAAUAUUGAAGGAAGAAAGGAAAGAGGGAGGAACGGGGAACAAAUGGAGGGAGGCAGAGACCUAAUCGUGAUAAAGAUGCGACAGUAUGAUGUAAAUAUGCCAGGGUCCAUUCAGGAUUUGUUGGGCCCGGUGUUUAUACAAUGGGGGAGGGGAGCUGUUUUUCAACUAGGAAGACCAAAACGAUGAAUACCAAUGAGAGAAAGAGCCUUGGAAGGGGCCUGUGUAAGUGAGGGCCCUGGUGCUGAACAGGAAAGCUGCACCUGUCAACAUGCUUGAAACAUGGACAUGUUUCUAAUACUAACAUUCUAACACAUGCAGGAACACAGACACUAGAAGCCUUGAGUCCCAGACACGUAUGCACAUGCACACACACACACACACACACACACACACACGUGUGCACAGCUCUAGGCUCUGGUUGCUCUCCAGCUGGGCCCUCUGGAUACCACUCUUCAGAGGCCCCUGCAGCCCUCACUUAGAAAUUAGGCCCUGGCCCAGCUGCUUGCACAUCAAAUGAGUGUGUGCUGAUGGACCCACCCCCAGGUGUGCACUUUGAUGUUUCAGAGGAGUGGACUCUAUUCCUGCCUCCUCACCUGGAGCCCCAACCCCAUGCCUAACCUGCCCGCUAUGAGCUGCCUUCACGCCACAGGGCCAGGGGGACGAGGUGGGCGCUGUCUCCGGAGAGGGGCUUGGCCAACAUUCAGUGAAGCGUCAGCCGCUGGCCCUUAGAGCUGGCAACACCCCCCAGCAUGCCUCCCCAACACAUUCUACUGCCUUUUCCCAAGGAUGGGACACCGAGGCCCAGACAGGGAGGUCGUGGGCCCUGUGCCAGUUCUCUUGGGGAACAGCAGUAUGUGACACGCACACACCCAUCACAAGCAUUUCUGGAAUGCCAAAGAUUAUAAAAGGGUUUCUUGUUCAAUGCAGGAAAGCAUAAAGCAAACGAAAAUGGCUUGUAAUGCUGCUGUGCAGCUAAUCCCAGUGGCAUUUUAAAAAUAAUGCAGGCACACAUUUAGAAAAUGCAAAGGGUUCCAAAAGAUUACAAAGUGAAAACCCGAACCUUCCUUGCUGUCUCAGUCCCUCUCCCCGGAGAUGAUCACUCUUUGCAUUUCCUUCCCGAAUACGUUGCUAUACUGGCUUUUACUGAAGAAAAGAGGAGAAUCACUCUGCCCACUAUUUCGUACCUUGCCAGUUUCCCACCUAAAACACAUCUCUGCAGAUCUGUCCACGUCAACAUGGCCCAAUCUGCUGCCUUCUUUUUAAUGGCUGUGCUUUAUUCCAUGGUCUGUGCUCUCUGUCAAGGUGUAUUUAUUCCCAGUUUCUUUGCUCUUAAGCACUGUACCUGGAUGUCCUAUUAGUAUUUCCGUAGGGCCAGUUAAAGCAGAGGCACUCCAUCAAAGAGUAUAUGCGUUUUUAAUUCUGGUAGAAAUUGCCAAAACGCCCUCCAAAAGGGUGGCAUUAAUUUGCACUUUUAUCAGCAAUAUACAAAAGAGUCUGUCUCCCUACACUGUUAACAAUUUUGUCAAACAGAGUGAAAAGUCAGAUCUCAGUGUUUCUUAACAGCUUUGCUGAAACAUAAUUCACAUGCUAUACAGUUCACCCGCUUUACGUGUUUACAGUGAGGUGUUUACAGUUGUGUCUCCAUCAGCAUGAUUAAUCGUAGGGCAUUUUCAUCGCUCCAGAAAGAAACCCUGCAGCCAUUAACAGUCACUGCCCAGUUUUCUCCCUCCCUUAGCUUCUAGCAACGGUCAGUCCACUUUCUGCAUCUAUCGAUUUGCCUAUUCUGGACAUUUCAUAAAAAUGAAAUCCUAUGGGGCGCCUGAGUGGCUCAGUGGGUUAAGUGUCUGACUUCGGCUCAGGUCAAGGUCUCACGGUUGGUGGGCUCGAGCCCCGCAUCAAGCCCGGUGUGGAGCCCCACAGCAUGGAGGCUGCUUGGGAUUCUCUCUCCUCCCUCCCUCUUCGCUCCUCCUCCACUCACGCUUUUUCUGCCUCUCUCAAAAUAAAUAAACUUUAAAAAUGAAAUCAUA